UACGUAGGGUGCGAGCGUUAAUCGGAAUUACUGGGCGUAAAGCGUGCGCAGGCGGUUUUGUAAGCCAGAUGUGAAAUCCCCGGGCUUAACCUGGGAAUGGCAUUUGGGACUGCAAGGCUUGAGUGCGGCAGAGGAGACUGGAAUUCCUGGUGUAGCAGUGAAAUGCGUAGAUAUCAGGAGGAACACCGAUGGCGAAGGCAGGGCUCUGGGCUGACACUGACGCUCAUGCACGAAAGCGUGGGGAGCAAACAGG
rnacentral:rRNA from 1 species